GUUGGGNGCUCUCCCNUAUGGUCGACCUGCAGGCGGCCGCGAAUUCACUAGUGAUUAGAGUUUGAUCCUGGCUCAGAUUGAACGCUGGCGGCAGGCCUAACACAUGCAAGUCGAACGGUAACAGGAAGCAGCUUGCUGCUUUGCUGACGAGUGGCGGACGGGUGAGUAAUGUCUGGGAAACUGCCCGAUGGAGGGGGAUAACUACUGGAAACGGUAGCUAAUACCGCAUAACGUCGCAAGACCAAAGAGGGGGACCUUCGGGCCUCUUGCCAUCGGAUGUGCCCAGAUGGGAUUAGCUAGUAGGUGGGGUAAAGGCUCACCUAGGCGACGAUCCCUAGCUGGUCUGAGAGGAUGACCAGCCACACUGGAACUGAGACACGGUCCAGACUCCUACGGGAGGCAGCAGUGGGAAUAUUGCACAAUGGGCGCAAGCCUGAUGCAGCCAUGCCGCGUGUAUGAAGAAGGCCUUCGGGUUGUAAAGUACUUUCAGCGGGGAGGAAGGGAGUAAAGUUAAUACCUUUGCUCAUUGACGUUACCCGCAGAAGAAGCACCGGCUAACUCCGUGCCAGCAGCCGCGGUAAUACGGAGGGUGCAAGCGUUAAUCGGAAUUACUGGGCGUAAAGCGCACGCAGGCGGUUUGUUAAGUCAGAUGUGAAAUCCCCGGGCUCAACCUGGGAACUGCAUCUGAUACUGGCAAGCUUGAGUCUCGUAGAGGGGGGUAGAAUUCCAGGUGUAGCGGUGAAAUGCGUAGAGAUCUGGAGGAAUACCGGUGGCGAANGCGGCCCCCUGGACGAAGACUGACGCUCANGUGCGAAAGCGUGGGGAGCAAACAGGAUUAGAUACCCCUGGUAGUCCACGCCGUAAACGAUGUCGACUUGNAGGUUGUGCCCUUGAGGCGUGGCUUCCGGANCUAACGCGUUAAGUCGACCGCCUGGGGAGUACGGCCGCAAGGUUAAANCUCAAAUGAAUUGACGGGGGCCCGCACAAGCGGUGGANCAUGNGGUUUNAUUCGAUGCA
rnacentral:rRNA from 1 species